CCCUUAGAUGUUCUGGGCCGCACGCGCGCUACACUGAUGCAUUCAACGAGUUUCUUCCUGGUCCGAGAGGAAUGGGUAACCUUUUGAAAGUGCAUCGUGAUAGGGAUAGACUAUUGCAAUUAUUGGUCUUCAACGAGGAAUUCCUAGUAGACGUAGUUCAUCAGACUGCAUCGAUUACGUCCCUGCCCUUUGUACACACCGCCCGUCGCUCCUACCGAUUGAAUGCUCAGGUGAGCCAUUCGGACUUUCAUCAAGCUGGUUUCCAGUUUUGAUGAAGGAAAGUCUUGCGAACCUUAUCAUUUAGAGGAAGGAGAAGUCGUAACA
rnacentral:rRNA from 1 species